rnacentral:rRNA from 1 species
GGCACGAAGCGGUGGAGUUAGUGUGGUUUAAUUCGAUGCAACGCGAAGAACCUUACCUGGUCUUGACAUCCCGGAGACCCUUAGGAAACUAGGGGGUGGCUUCCAUCUGGAAGAAUCUGGAGACAGGUGCUGCAUGGCUGUCGUCAGCUCGUGUCGUGAGAUGUUGGGUUAAGUCCCGCAACGAGCGCAACCCUUGCCUUUAGUUGCCAGCAGUUCGGCUGGGCACUCUAAAGGGACUGCCGGUGUUAAACCGGAGGAAGGUGGGGAUGACGUCAAGUCCUCAUGGCCUUUAUGACCAGGGCUACACACGUACUACAAUGGCCGAUACAAAGGGCAGCGACACUGCGAGGUGAAGCCAAUCCCGUAAAAUCGGUCUCAGUCCGGAUUGGAGUCUGCAACUCGACUCCAUGAAGUUGGAAUCGCUAGUAAUCGUGGAUCAGCAUGCCACGGUGAAUACGUUCCCGGGCCUU